CAAAGGCUUUGAGGCAGCGGCUUCGGGCCAACAACUCAGGAUGUGUCUGCCAAGCUUUACUGAGGUAUAAUGGACAUACAAUAAAGUGCAUCUGUUUAGACAUCCAA